GGCGUACCCGUUAACACGUUUGUAACAUCCUCUCCCAGCAGACGACACAGAAUCGCCAUGAAAACUGUAAUUCUUUUAGUGGGAAUUCUACAGGUCCUUUAUCCUCUCGCUUCAACGGCCAUAUUCCCGGAAGAUCUCACCUACAGUCAGUGGCAGUUGGAGAAGCGGAACGGCGAUACCGGAAGUGACCACCUACCUUCAGUUUCAAAACGAUCAUGUGGGUGUUGCGUGCAAACCAGAGGCGCCAAUGCGUUCUGCUGUACUUUAUGUUUCAUGGAUUCGAAACGGUCUGGACCUCCACAAACCGACGAUACAUAUGACAGUGCUUCAGAAAAGAGCAAUGGCGAUAUUGAAGUCGGGAAGCGCUUGACCGCCAGCUGUUUUUGUUGCAACACUUCCGGAAGAAAGUCCUGCUGCUCAAAAUGUCGACAGUUCUUUUAAUAACCAGACGCUUGCUUACGUUUACGUGAACUUUAAAAGAUGGUGUGGCAAAUGAAAUAAAUGGGUUCUUAUGAUAAUUAUAAAGAGUUCAGCUCAAAUCAGUUGGAAUUGUGUCCUAUGUCUGUCUGUCUGCUUCAAUGACUGUCCCACAGGCUGUAACCGUCCAGUUUUAUUGAACUGUUUAAAUUGAUUUAUAAUGCAUCUCCUGCGGCAUCGUUUUCAGACAAACGCUGUGUACUUCGGACUUGUAACUCUGUUAAUCCAAUGCAUUGCUUACUCUUAUACAAAAAAAUAUAUAUUGAAAUGCUGUUAGCAUCAUGUACAAUCAGUCAAUCACCAUGCUUAUUCAAACACUUAUAGUUAAUACUCGUUAUCGCAGUGUAGAACAAUCAAUAUGCGGAAGAAUGGGUCCUUGUACAAAUUUCUAACUAUUUUAACUGGAAAAAAAACCCCACACUAAAUGUUUUUCUCCAUCUGGAAAUGCCAAAAAUCUACUAGUAUUUUAUUUUCCUUAAAAAUAUAUAAAAUUAAAUUUCAAGUUUUGUUUGUUUUAGAAUUUUAGUAAAACUAAAAUUAUAUUUCAUCUUCAAAACUAUAUGAACAAUAUAGGGAUAUGCAUUGCAAGGCUGGUGUGAUGGUUAGACCUCAAGUUUUGGUUUUAAAAAUGUAAUUACAGAUUGUUAUAUUCCACGGUGAUUAUAUCCUUUCUUCAUUUGUACAUUUGGCUAUGGACUCCACCAUGAUCCAGCCCUUAGGCACAUCAAACGUAAAUAAUUUCGAUCCUUCUGCAUAUACAAUGUAGAGCACACUUAUUCGUGUACACAUUAGCAACAUAUUAGUUAACCAGACAAAGACGCCAGCUUGUGUUUCAUUUGCAUUUAUUGUCACGUAACAUGUAACACGGAAAUAAAGGUUUGGUUAAAA